CAAAAACAUCACCUCAUGAAUACCAUAAGAGGCCCAGCCUGCCCAGUGAUAAUUUCAACGGCCGCGGUAUCCUAACCGUGCAAAGGUAGCGUAAUCACCUGUUUCUUAAUUAGAGACCUGUAUGAAUGGCACCACGAGAGUCACACUGUCUCCUUUUUCCAGUCAGUGAAACUAAUCUUCCUGUGAAAAAGCAGGAAUUCUUAAACAAGACGAGAAGACCCUUUGGAGCUUAAGACAAAUAAAAUUCUAUGCUAUUCUAUGCUAUUCUACACACAACCAACAGUAUCAAAUUUUAAUAGUCUUCAGUUGGGGCAACUACGGAGUAAAAACAACCCUCCAAGAUGCGAUGGAAUUUUCCUAAACAAAAAGCCACAGCUUUAUGUAUCAAUAAAAUGACAUUAUUAGACCCAAGAUUUUGAUUAACGAACCAAGUUACCCUAGGGAUAACAGCGCAAUCCACUCUAAGAGUCCCUAUCGACGAGUGGGCUUACGACCUCGAUGUUGGAUCAAGGCAUCCCAGUGGUGCAACCGCUACUAAAGGUUCGUUUGUUCAACGAUUAAAGCCUCACGUGAUCUGAGUUCAGACCGGA
rnacentral:rRNA from 1 species